rnacentral:rRNA from 1 species
UACAGAGGGUACGAGCGUUGUCCGGAAUCACUGGGCGUAAAGGGCGCGUAGGUGGCGACCCAAGUCCAUGGUGAAAGCUCGAUGCUCAACAUCGAGUCGGCCACGGAUACUGGGUUGCUCGAGCACUGUAGAGGCUAAUGGAAUUCCGGGUGUAGCGGUGGAAUGCGUAGAGAGUCCGGAAGAACACCGGUGGCGAAGGCGGUUAGCUGGGCAGUUGCUGACACCUG